rnacentral:snoRNA from 1 species
GAAAAACGACAAGAAAGAAUAGAGAGGGAGGUCUAAUCCCCUAAGGAAGGGGGAGGGGACUACCCAGACCAUUCAAAGAAUACCUCCUACUGUUAACAGUAGGAGGUAUUCUUUGUAUGGUCUGGGUAGUCCCCUCCCCCUUCCUUAGGGGAUUAGACCUCCCUCUCUAUUCUUUCUUGUCGUUUUUCU